rnacentral:rRNA from 1 species
AUUGAACGCUGGCGGCAGGCCUAACACAUGCAAGUCGAGCGGAGCGGCGGACGGGUGAGUAAUGCCUAGGAAUCUGCCUGGUAGUGGGGGAUAACGUCCGGAAACGGGCGCUAAUACCGCAUACUAUCAGAUGAGCCUAGGUCGGAUUAGCUAGUUGGUGGGGUAAAGGACUACCAAGGCGACGAUCCGUAACUGGUCUGAGAGGAUGAUCAGUCAACCGGUAAAUGAAACACGGUCGAGACUGCUACGUGCGGCAGCAGUGGGGAAGAUUGGACAAUGGGCGAAAGCCUGGUACAGCCAUGCAUCGUGAGUGAAGAAGGUCUUCGGAUUGGUAAGCACUUUAAGUUGGGAGGCGUUACCAACAGAAUAAGCACCGGCUAACUACGUGCCAGCAGCCGCGGUAAUAC